CCCUUAGAUGUCCUGGGCCGCACGCGCGUUACACUGAUGCAUUCAACGAGCUUAUAACCUUGGCCGAGAGGCCUGGGCAAUCUUGUUAACGUGCAUCGCGAUAGGGAUAGAUUAUUGAAAUUAUUAAUCUUGAACGAGGAAUUCCUAGUAAACGCAGAUCAUCAAUCUGCAUUGAUCACGUCCCUGCCCUUUGUACACACCGCCCGUCGCACCUACCGAUUGGAUGGUCCGGUGAAGCCUCGGGAUUGUGGUUCUUGCCGCUUUAUUGUGGCGUGACCGCGAGAACUUGUCUAAACCUUAUCAUCUAGAGGAAGGUGAAGUCGUAACA
rnacentral:rRNA from 1 species